GGCCCCGCCCCGAGGUGCUGGUUGAGAAAGGGCGCUCAACACUAGAGCGCAUCCCUGGAGGCCGCUGGAAACUUAGGGAGAGAAAGAAAACAGGAGCGAGGAGCAGUUUCUGUAAGAGGCCCUGAGAAAUUCGCUUCUCUCACGCUAAACCCUAUGUUAUUCACCUUCUUGCCUUACCUCUCUGCAUCGUAGCCCUGCUGACAUCACCUGUGCCUCUAGAAGAAGAGAAUGAGUGGUUUCUAGAACCAGGAAUCAAUGGCUACAGGGAUGGGGCCAUUGGAUAGAAGCUGUCAGCAGAAGGACGCAGGACACUCCCAGUGACCUGAAGGGAGGGAACCAGGAAAAACAGCUCCAAUGGUCUUUCGCCAUUCACCUUGAAUGCUGAAACCUCGUGUGCUUCUUCUGGAGUGAGGCAUGUAGAGGGGCUGCCAGCUAGAGAACAGAAUCCUCAAGUGCUCCAGGAGCAACUGACAUGCCUGCACCCGGAGCCACCUCCAUCUCACCCCGACUCCCUGGCACCAGGAGACUCUGAAAGUAAAAAAUCAAGAGAGUCCACAAAGAUUACCUUUCUGGUCAAUACUCUCCAUCACAUCAAGGAAGGAGAUGACCAUUCCCCUGCAGCUGCCAGCUUCACAAGGAAGUUGACAAUUGAAGCGGAUCAUGGAGAAGGUAAUAAUAACCAUAGCCACAAGCCUUUGUACCCCAUUACGAUAAACCAGGCAUAUUCAGAUGCCUUAUUCAACACACUUAAGGGCAGGUAUUAUUAUCUGCAUUUUACAGGAGAGCAAAUUGGGGAACAGUAAAGGAUGCUCAAGAUAGCAGGAAGGUUUGAAACAAAGUAAGGUGCAAAGGUGAAAAUAUUCUGCUGAACAAUUUUUUUUAAACUCCAGGCAAGUUAGAAGUGUGUAGUGGGGAGAGGAGAUUGCAGACUAUACUUUGGGAGUCUUGGAUAAUGGGGACUGACUUAUUUUUUACUCCCUCCUCUUUCUCCACUGGAUUUUAUGACCUAAUUUUGGGGUCACAAAAUAUCAGGCUCAAUUGUAGGUUCACCAUCCUGUGCUUUGCCAUCAAAUGGUGGGAUUUCUCAUGAGUGCCACCCCUAGAAUCUCAUUUCCUUUGUACUUUAUCUCUAGAAAAUCCAGCCCUCUAUGUGGGGCAAUUUUCCUUAUGUUAUAUCUGCUCAAACAACCUCAUUUCUUUUUUUUUACCCCAAGAAACACAUCUCUUUUUAUACAUAUUCACUCAUUAGCAUGAUUAUUUGAUUAAAAAGAAUCAUUAAAUAAGUAAAUGAGUAGCUAUGUCACAACUAAGUAAAAUCUUACUUGAAAAAUAAUUUUCUUUCUAUUCUAGAAUAGACUUCUUCUUUUUCAUAGCAAAAUUUUCCCUCACUAAUAUUUGAAAGGCUUCCUAACUUCUAAGGUUAUACAUAAAUUCACCUGUAUUUUCCUGCUAAUAGCUUGAAAAUGGUGAUGAUAUGGUGGUGAUGGGGAAGGAAAAUCGGCUCAGAUGGAGGGCUGGAUGGUGGUGAUGAUGAGACGGAUGACGAUGACGUUGAUGAAGAUGAUGAUGGUGAAGAAGAUGGAAGUGGUGGUGAUGAUGGUGGUGAUGAUGAAGGUGAAGAUGAUGAUGAUGGUACCCAACACCUUUUGAGCUCUGGCUAUAAGUGCAGCCAAGUGGUCCCUUCAAUUUCCACAACACCUCUGCAAUAUAAGUAGUGUUGUUAGUUCCAUUUUUCUUUUUUUUUUUUUGGAAAAAGAAUUAAGGCUUAUAUUUUUUAAGGACCUGGAUCAAGGUCACCAGGCCAGCUGAGUCAUGGAGCCAGGAUCCUGAGACAAUGUGACUCCAAAGGCUAGGAUGCUACUACAUUCUACUUAUUUAUUUUUCAAAUCAUCUCUCAAAGGAAUGAGUAUGAUUUCCAUAAUUAAAUGCCCCCUAGCCUCAUCCCUCCUUCUGUGGGCUUUAGUCCCUUCUCCUCCAAUGUCAUUCCCAGUUCUCAAGUUGAGUUCCUAUGAGAAACAGCAGGGUUGCUGUCCUUUCCCUUGCUUAUAUCCCGUGCAAACAGAUUCUAUUCACAGGGGCUUGCAAAGGACCCUUUUAUAUCAGGCAGUGUUGAAAGCAACAAUGAAAAACACUUUUAGCUUCAACUUCCCAUAUCUUCCAAUGGAAGUAUUUGCUUUCCAGAAAUGCCCAGCAUAACCUAGAGCAAUGGAUUUCUGCGUGGUCUCUGGGCCAGCAGCAUCUGUUUGAAAUACAAAUUCUCAGGUCCUAGACCCAUUGCCUCAGAAACUCUAGGGUCUUUGCUUUCCCAAGCCUUCUGAUGAUUCUGAUAUUGGUAACCAUUGACGUAUAAUACCUUCUUCGUAAGCCAGUUAUUAAAAUAAUAGUAAGACAGAAAGCAUGCUCUAGGUUGUUCUUUUACAGAAGCAUCUGUAAGCAAGUUCAAAAGAAGGGGCAACCUCUGGAGAGUCAGGCACUAUGUUGGCCUCUGGUGCGCUGUUGUUUUCACCUGGGAUCUCCUGUGUGUGUUGGGAGUGAAUCCUUGCAUUUAUCAGACUAAAUUAAAAUGAGCACUAUAAUGAAUUCCUUGCACACACAGACAUGACAUUUGCAGGCAAGUCACUAAGUACACAUGUCCUGAUAAUGUUCCUUCAUUUCAAAUGGAUUUUCUUCUCAUUUAUCAUCUGCUGGAAAGAACUCUGGCUGAUGAGAACUAAGGCUGGCCAGGAAGGAGAAGGGGAAGGAGAACAAAGCAAAUUCAGGUGGUGUUAGUAACAGCCCCACUCAGCCAUAAAAAAGAACGAAAUAAUGCCAUUUGCAGCAAUAUGGAUGCAACUAGAGAUGAUUAUAGUAGGUGAAGCAAGUCAGAAAGAGAAAGACAAAUACCAUAUGAUAUCACUUAUGUGUGGAUAGGGCACAAGUGAACCUAUCUACGGAAUAGAAACAGGUCACGGAUGUAGAGGACAGACUGUGGUUGCCAAGGGGGAGGGGGAGGGUUAGGAUGGCCUGGGAGUUUGGGGUUAGUAGAUGCAAACUAUCCCAUUUAGAAUGGAUAAGCAAUGAGGUCCUGCUGUACAGCACAGGGAACUCUAUCCAGUCUUUUGGGAUAGAACAUGAUGGAAGAUAAUAUAUGAAAGGGAACAUAUAUGUAUAUAUGUAUGUAUGACUGGGUCACUUUGCUGUACAGCAGAAAUUGGCACAACAUUGUAAAUCAACUAUACUCUAAUAAAGAAUAAGUAGGAGCUCCCAUUGUGGCUCAGCCGGUUAAGAACCCAACAUAGUGUCAGUGAGGAUGUGGGUUCAAUCCGUGACCUCGAUCAGUGGGUUAAGGCUCAGAUCCAGCAUUGCCUAGCCCGGGAGUUUCCAUGUGCCAUAGAUGCAGCUAUUUUAAAAAAAGGAAAAAAUAAAAAUAAAAAA
rnacentral:lncRNA from 1 species